GAUGAACGCUGGCGGCGUGCCUAAUACAUGCAAGUCGAGCGAACAGACGAGGAGCUUGCUCCUCUGACGUUAGCGGCGGACGGGUGAGUAACACGUGGAUAACCUACCUAUAAGACUGGGAUAACUUCGGGAAACCGGAGCUAAUACCGGAUAAUAUAUUGAACCGCAUGGUUCAAUAGUGAAAGACGGUUUUGCUGUCACUUAUAGAUGGAUCUCCGCCGCGUUAGCUAGUUGGUGAGGUAACGGCUUACCAAGGCAACGAUGCGUAGCCGACCUGAGAGGGGGAUCGGCCACACUGGAACGGGGACAGGGUCAAGACUCCUACGGGAGGCAGCAGUAGGGAAUCUUCCGCAAUGGGCGAAAGCCUGACGGAGCAACGCCGCGUGAGAGAUAAAGGUCUUCGGAUCGUAAAACUCUGUUAUUAGGGAAGAACAAAUGUGUAAGUAACUAUGCACGUCUUGACGGUACCUAGUCAGAAAGCCACGGCUAACUACGUG
rnacentral:rRNA from 1 species